UACGAAGGGGGCUAGCGUUGCUCGGAAUUACUGGGCGUAAAGGGCGCGUAGGCGGACAGUUUAGUCAGAGGUGAAAGCCCAGGGCUCAACCUUGGAAAUGCCUUUGAUACUGACUGUCUUGAGUUCGGGAGAGGUGAGUGGAAUGCCGAGUGUAGAGGUGAAAUUCGUAGAUAUUCGGCGGAACACCAGUGGCGAAGGCGACUCACUGGCCCGAUACUGACGCUGAGGACGAACGAAGCGUGGGGGAGCAAAAC
rnacentral:rRNA from 1 species